UCACGGCAGGAAUAGGCGCGGUGGUGGUU
rnacentral:sRNA from 1 species